UACGGGGGGUGCGAGCGUUGUCCGGAAUCACUGGGCGUAAAGGGCGCGUAGGUGGCCUGAUAAGGGUGUGGUGAAAGUCCGGGGCUCAACCCCGGAUCUGCCGUGCCGACUGUUGGGCUGGAGUACUGUAGGGGCAGGCGGAAUUCCGGGUGUAGCGGUGGAAUGCGUAGAGAUCGGAAAGAACACCAACGGCGAAAGCACUCUGCUGGGCCGACACUGACACUGAGAGACGAAAGCUAGGGGAGCGAAUGGG
rnacentral:rRNA from 1 species